CAGGAGGUAGUUUAAUUAAAAUACCAGCUUUGGGAGUUGGUGAUAAAGGUUUAACUCCUUUCUUCCUGA
rnacentral:tRNA from 2 species